GGCGGCGCCUACACUGCAAGUCGAGCGAGAAACUAAACUUCGGUUUAGCGGAAAGCGGCGGACGGGUGAGUAACGCGUGGGAAUUUACCAAAGAGUGGGGAACAACUGCUGGAAACGGCAGCUAAUACCGCAUACGCCCUACGGGGGAAAGGCUUCGGCCGCUCUUUGAGAAGCCCGCGUACGAUUAGUUUGUUGGUGAGGUAAUGGCUUACCAAGACUACAAUCGUUAGCUGGUCUGAGAGGACGAUCAGCCACACUGGGACUGAGACACGGCCCAGACUCCUACGGGAGGCAGCAGUGGGGAAUAUUGGACAAUGGGCGAAAGCCUGAUCCAGCGAUGCCGCGUGAGUGAAGAAGGCCCUAGGGUUGUAAAGCUCUUUCGGUGGGGAAGAUAAUGACGGUACCCGCAAAAGAAGCCCCGGCUAACUCCGUGCCAGCAGCCGCGGUAAUACGGAGGGGGCUAGCGUUACUCGGAAUUACUGGGCGUAAAGGGAGCGUAAGCGGUUAAUCAAGUUGGGGGUGAAAGCCCGGGGCUCAACCCCGGAAAUGCCCUCAAAACUAGUUAACGAGAGGACGGGAGAGGGGAGUGG
rnacentral:rRNA from 1 species